rnacentral:rRNA from 1 species
CUUGCUUCUCUUGAGAGCGGCGGACGGGUGAGUAAUGCCUAGGAAUCUGCCUGGUAGUGGGGGAUAACGUCCGGAAACGGACGCUAAUACCGCAUACGUCCUACGGGAGAAAGCAGGGGACCUUCGGGCCUUGCGCUAUCAGAUGAGCCUAGGUCGGAUUAGCUAGUUGGUGGGGUAAUGGCUCACCAAGGCGACGAUCCGUAACUGGUCUGAGAGGAUGAUCAGUCACACUGGAACUGAGACACGGUCCAGACUCCUACGGGAGGCAGCAGUGGGGAAUAUUGGACAAUGGGCGAAAGCCUGAUCCAGCCAUGCCGCGUGUGUGAAGAAGGUCUUCGGAUUGUAAAGCACUUUAAGUUGGGAGGAAGGGCAGUAAAUUAAUACUUUGCUGUUUUGACGUUACCGACAGAAUAAGCACCGGCUAACUCUGUGCCAGCAGCCGCGGUAAUACAGAGGGUGCAAGCGUUAAUCGGAAUUACUGGGCGUAAAGCGCGCGUAGGUGGUUCGUUAAGUUGGAUGUGAAAUCCCCGGGCUCAACCUGGGAACUGCAUUCAAAACUGACGAGCUAGAGUAUGGUAGAGGGGUGGUGGAAUUUCCUGUGUAGCGGUGAAAUGCGUAGAUAUAGGAAGGAACACCAGUGGCGAAGGCGACCACCUGGACUGAUACUGACACUG